AUGAACGCUGGCGGCGUGCCUAAUACAUGCAAGUCGAGCGAACAGACGAGGAGCUUGCUCCUCUGACGUUAGCGGCGGACGGGUGAGUAACACGUGGAUAACCUACCUAUAAGACUGGGAUAACUUCGGGAAACCGGAGCUAAUACCGGAUAAUAUAUUGAACCGCAUGGUUCAAUAGUGAAAGACGGUUUUGCUGUCACUUAUAGAUGGAUCCGCACCGCAUUAGCUAGUUGGUAAGGUAACGGCUUACCAAGGCAACGAUGCGUAGCCGACCUGAGAGGGUGAUCGGCCACACUGGAACUGAGACACGGUCCAGACUCCUACGGGAGGCAGCAGUAGGGAAUCUUCCGCAAUGGGCGAAAGCUUGACGGAGCAACGCCGCGUGAGUGAUGAAGGUCUUCGGAUCGUAAAACUCUGUUAUUAGGGAAGAACAAAUGUGUAAGUAACUAUGCACGUCUUGACGGUACCUAAUCAGAAAGCCACGGCUAACUACGUG
rnacentral:rRNA from 1 species